AUCGACGGCGGUGUUUGGCACCUCGAUGUCGGCUCAUCUCAUCCUGGGGCUGUAGCCGGUCCCAAGGGUAUGGCUGUUCGCCAUUUAAAGAGGUACGUGAGCUGGGUUUAAAACGUCGUGAGACAGUUUGGUCCCUAUCUGCCGUGGGCGUUGGAAAUUUGAAGGGGGCUGCUCCUAGUACGAGAGGACCGGAGUGGACGCACCUCUGGUGUACCGGUUGUCACGCCAGUGGCAUCGCCGGGUAGCUAAGUGCGGAAGAGAUAACCGCUGAAAGCAUCUAAGCGGGAAACUUGCCUUAAGAUUAGAUUUCCCUGAGGACUUGAUCCUCCUGAAGGGCCGUUCAAGACCAGGACGUUGAUAGGUUGGGUGUGGAAGUGCAGUAAUGCAUUAAGCUAACCAAUACUAAUUGCCCGUGCGGCUUGACUCUAUAGCAUUA
rnacentral:rRNA from 1 species